rnacentral:rRNA from 1 species
UUCGCAAUGCCCGAAAGGGUGACGAAGCGACGCCGCGUGAGUGAGGAAGGUCUUCGGGUUGUAAAGCUCUGUCAGGAGUUAAGAAGUAUAAGUGUGCUAAUACCACAUUUAUUUGACAAAAGCUCCAAAGGAAGCCACGGCUAACUCUGUGCCAGCAGCCGCGGUAAUACAGAGGUGGCAAGCGUUGUUCGGAAUUAUUGGGCGUAAAGAGCACGUAGGUGGGUUUGUAAGUCAGAUGUGAAAGCCUUCUGUUCAACGGAAGAAUUGCAUCUGAAACUGCGAGUCUUGAGUGUAGGAGGGGAGAAUGGAACUUCUGGUGGAGCGGUGAAAUGCGUAGAUAUCAGAAGGAACGCCGGCGGCGAAAGCGAUUCUCUGGCCUAUUACUGACACUCAGUGUGCGAAAGCUAGGGGAGCAAACGGGAUUAGAUACCCCGGUAGUCCUAGCUGUAAACGAUGGGCACUAAGUAGAGGGGUUUU